rnacentral:rRNA from 1 species
GACGAACGCUGGCGGCGUGCUUAACACAUGCAAGUCGAACGGAAAGGCCUGCUUUCCCUUGUGGAUUGCGGGUACUCGAGUGGCGAACGGGUGAGUAACACGUGAGUGAUCUGCCCCCAACUUGGGUAUAAGCCUGGGAAACUGGGUCUAAUUCCCGAUAGGACUGCAGGGUGGUGCCUGUGGUGGAAAACGAUUUUCUAGUGGUUGGGGAUGAGCUCGCGGCCUAUCAGCUUGUUGGUGGGGUAAUGGCCUACCAAGGCGGCGACGGGUAGCCGGCCUGAGAGGGUGGACGGCGACAGUGGGACUGAGAUACGGCCCAGACUCCUACGGGAGGCAGCAGUGGGGAAUAUUGCACAAUGGGCGGAAGCCUGAUGCAGCGACGCCGCGUGGGGGAUGACGGCCUUCGGGUUGUAAACUCCUUUCGACCGCGAGGAAGCCACCUGGUUGGAAGGGUGGUGACGGUAGUGGUAGAAGAAGCACCGGCUAACUACGUG